AUACGGGGGGGGCUAGCGUUGUUCGGAAUUACUGGGCGUAAAGCGCGCGUAGGCGGCUUAUCAAGUUAGGCGUGAAAGGUCUGGGCUCAACCCGGGAACUGCGCUUAAUACUGGUAGACUUGAGUCCGGGAGAGGGUGGCGGAAUUCCCGGUGUAGAGGUGAAAUUCGUAGAUAUUGGGAAGAACACCAGUGGCGAAGGCGGCCACCUGGCCCGGUACUGACGCUGAGGUGCGAAAGCGUGGGGAGCAAACAGGAUUAGAAACCCCAGUAGUCC
rnacentral:rRNA from 1 species